GUAGGUGGCAAGCGUUGUCCGGGAAUUAUUGGGGCGUAAAGCGCGCGCAGGCGGUUCUUUAAGUCUGAUGUGAAAGCCCACGGGCUCAACCGUGGAGGGUCAUUGGAAACUGGAGAACUUGAGUACAGAAGAGGAAAGCGGAAUUCCACGUGUAGCGGUGAAAUGCGUAGAGAUGUGGAGGAACACCAGUGGCGAAGGCGGCUUUCUGGUCUGUAACUGACGCUGAGGCGCGAAAGCGUGGGGAGCAAACAGGAUUAGAUACCCUGGUAGUCCACGCCGUAAACGAUGAGUGCUAAGUGUAGGGGGUUUCCGCCCCUUAGUGCUGCAGCUAACGCAUUAAGCACUCCGCCUGGGGAGUACGGCCGCAAAGGCUG
rnacentral:rRNA from 1 species